CAGAGGUGAAGAAAAAGGGUGUAACCCUAAUUCACUCAAAAUCACCAAAUUAAAGGUCAAAUUUAGCUUCAAUUUGAUGCACGAACACAAAUUCGUGAUUACCCAAGCUAGGAGAUCGUAAGUUUGACUCUAAACAAGCUAGGUGGGAGCUUGGAAAGGAACGGGUCAAACGGAUCAUGGAUGCAAAAAAUGUUUGCGCGGACGCGAGGUGAAUAUCAGGAGUACUCAGAUGAAGAUCAAGCGACGUACAAGAACCGAACACAUGAAAACGAGGCUUCCACACGUUGUUUCGUCAUUAUUUUUAAACGAUGAACCCAAUCACAUUA